CGACGUGAGUAACCUGCCUUGGAGUGGGGAAUAACACAGUGAAAACUGUGCUAAUACCGCAUAAUGCAUUUGGGUCGCAUGAUUCUGAAUGCCAAAGAUUUAUCGCUCUGAGAUGGACCCGCGUCUGAUUAGCUAGUUGGCGGGGUAACGGCCCACCAAGGCGACGAUCAGUAGCCGGACUGAGAGGUUGGCCGGCCACAUUGGGACUGAGACACGGCCCAG
rnacentral:rRNA from 1 species